CUGGAAAAACUGGCCUCAGCUGAUAUUGAAACUUAUCUGUUAGAAAGUCAAGAGUGACAUUCCAGCUGUCGGCUGAGAGGAGUUACCACAUCUUCUACCAGCUCAUGACUGGACACAAGCCAGAGCUGCUCGAGGCCUUGCUCAUCACCACCAACCCUUAUGACUAUCCAAUGAUCAGCCAGGGUGAAAUCACUGUCAAGAGCAUCAAUGAUGUGGAGGAGUUCAUUGCCACCAGAU